rnacentral:tRNA from 1 species
GCCGGUGGCAUGGUGCGGUUCCAGGAUUGUCACCUUGUGAACCGAGGGUUCGAAUCCCUCCACCGGCUCCA